UACAGAGCCCCUGAGUUCCAGGAACUAGGGGAAUUGUAGUCUUUUAAGCGGCGGCCAUUUUAAAACAAACGAAAAGAAAAUCUUGUGACCAACAGUACAGUUAUAGCUGUUCUUUAAAUAGAAAUCCCUACUAUUUCUAUCGGAACUAACACCCGAUAACCAUCUAUUUAUCACAAAAUCUGAAUUGCAAUAAGUAUGUGGUAACUCCACAGCAUCCAACCUAGAGAUUGUAUACGCAGAAGUGAAGCCAAACCAACAGAACAAAGCUAAACCCCGACCAAAACAUGACUGUGACGUCCUGUACUCUGCUGUCCUUGUCAAGAAACCAGAAAAUAACCCCAGUGCUGCAGACAACAGUGACGUCCUUUAUUCAGAGCUCGACAUGAGGAAUGUGAAUAAGAAGAAGAAGAAGGGUAAAACCCUGGCAGAUAACAAACCUGAGGUGUUGUACUCUGAGAUCAACCAAGCAAAGCCCUCAGGCAAACCCACAGCAGAUAAUGCAGAGUCCAUGUAUGCCACAGUCCUCCCAAAGAAGAAAUGAAGGCAAG